AGCGGGAGGAAAAUCGGAGAGAAUGAGUGGUGGCUAAUAAGCAGGGAAAAGAGUAGAAAAGUUGAUUUUGAAGUUGAAAAACGUAACUUACCUGGUUGGGAACUGACGGGGAUUUUAUGAGAACUAUGCCACACCGGUUUUAGUCAGUUUUUUGGUGUUGAAGGUCGGUCGGAGCGAGGAUUGGUCUGCAGUGUGCAGGCGUGCACGUGCAUAGACGGGAUUCAAGAUGGCGAGCCAGACCCAGACCUUCAAUUCAUCUUCUCCAUCGCACCAGUGAGGAAAUCCCCUGUGUAUGGUGACUCGCUUCCAGAGUGAACCUACAACUGGUCCAGUGGCCCAGUAAGUGGUGCGAUACCGGUGCUACAACAGCCCUCUUCAGAUCACCCCACAGAUGUUCAAUUGGAUUCAGGUCUGGGAUCUGGCUGGGACAUUCCAAAAUGUUAAUCUUCUUCUGGUGAAGCCAUGCUUUUGUGGAUUUGGAUGUGUGCUUUGGGUCGUUGUCAUGCUGAAGGUCAUCUUCAGCUUUCUAAUGGACGCCUGAAGGUUUUGUGCCAACAUUUCCUAGUAUUUGGAACUGUUCAUAAUUCCCUCCACCCUGACUAAGGCCCUGGUUCCAGCUGAAGAAAAACAGCCCCAAAGCAUGAUGUUGCCACCACCAUGCUUCACUGUUGGCAUGGUGUUCUUUGGGUGAUUUCUCUUACAAAUACCUCUUUGUCAUAGUCAAAAAACUGCUGUAAUAAUAUAGUUUUAUGUAAGCAAGUUAUGAAAGCUUGUCCUGGGAGUUCAUUCACGUGGAACUAAUAUCUUGUUAUUUAUAUAUUACCCAACCGUUAUUUUGUAUAAGCCACCUUGUCUCUUGGCCUGCUCAAAAACACCUGCACCUGGCACUAACGUAAACAUAACGUAAACUUUUAAUAUAUGCUAUGUGUCCUGACUAUAUGUGGACACCGGACCAUCACACCUAUUUGAGCUUCUCGGACAUCCUGUUCCAAAACCACAGGCAUUAAUAUCAAGUUGCCCCACAAUAUUUUGGAGUUUCUCUGUGGGAAUUUGUGCCCAUUCUGCCAAAAGGGCAUUCUUGAAAUCAGGCACUGAUUUUGGACAAGAAGGCUUUGCUCUAUUUUAUCCAAAAAUAAUUAAAUGUGGCUGGGGUCAGGGCUCCAUGCUGGCCACUCGAGUUCCUCCACACAAAUCUUGUCGAACCAUGACUAUGGAUCCCACUUUAUGCACAGGGGCACAGUCAUGGUGGAACAGGAAAGGGCCUUCCCCAAAUUGUGCCACAAUUGGAAGCACUCAAUUGUCUAAACUGUCUUUGUAUCCUGUAGCAUUAAGAUGACCCUUCACUGGAACUAAGGGACCUAGCUCAAACCCUGAAAAACAGCCCCAGACCAUUAUCCCUCUUCCACCAAACUUUACACUAUGCAUUCUGGUAGGUAGCAUUCUCCUUGCAUCCGCCGCACCCAGACUCGUCCAUCAGACUUCUGGAUAGUGAAGUGUGAUUCAUCACUCCAGAGAACGUUUCCACAUCUCCAUAGACCAGUGGCGGAGUGCUCCACUCCAGAGGAUGCAUGGCAUUGCAUAUGUUGAUGUGAGGCUUCUUACAGCUUCUUUGCCAUGGAAACCCAUUAAGUGAAGCUCCUGAUGCACAGUUCUUGUGCUGAUGUUGCUUUCAGAGGCAGUUUGGAACAACAGAUGAAUGGCAGUUUUUACACGCUAUGCAUUUCAGCACUUUGCAGCCCCGCUCUGUGAGUUUGUGUGGUCUACCACUUUGUGGCUGGGCUCUUGUUGCUCCCAGAUACUUCCACUUCACAAUUAUAGCACUUACAAAUAACCUGGGCAGAAACUUCACGAACUGACUUGUGGCAAAGGUGGCAUCCUAUGACAGUGCCACUUUAGAAGUCACUGAGCUCUUUAGUAUGACCCAUUGUACUGCCAACACAUGAACUCAAUAGGGGUCUCCACAUACUUUUGGCCAUAGUGUAUAGUGAUUUCUUCUUGAACAAAAGUCAUAAGAUAUUGAAGGUGUUUUCACUCAUUUGAUGCCGAUGGAUUUAUGGAAGUGGUGCCACUUUUCCAUUUGACUUAUUUAUUGCCUUCUGUUGACCACUCAAAAUAAUAAACAAGUAAACAUGAAAUACUAUAGUUCCGCUAUUACUGCAUAAAUAGUAUGGUGGACAUUUGCUUUUAUUACAAUGCAAAAUUCUGCAUACAGUUAUUCCCGUAUAAAUACAUUCAAUUACUGUUUGGUAGAUGCAAUUUAAACAUGGUGAUAGGAAAUAGUGGCAAGCCUUCCUAUAAAUAAUCAAUUUUCAAUGUUGUGGGGAUCAAAAUAGACCUCGGUCUGGUCUAACCACAUGAACAUUCAGUCAGUUAUUUCUUUCUUCAGUUUUCAUACGUCGUAACUUCAUAAACCCCCAUAAACUCUGCAGGAUCAGCAUGACCAGCGGGGUGGAAAACAACAUUACAUUAUUAUCCAAGGAUUAAUGCAGUACACACUCACAGUUAGACCCAAAACUUCUGAUGUUCUCCCAAGGAAUCAAAUUCAAUUUGACUGUUUGAGAUAUCAUCAACUUUCUGAAUGCAUGCCUCUCUGUCGUUUUCUCUCUAUCUCUUCCCUUCUUGUCUAACCCUGCCAUUACUCUAAUUGCACUCGUAGACAUUUGAAGCUAGCCAGGGAGUAAAUAUAGCUCACGGCCCAUUUUUGGUGGGUUUCUGUGAUCUGUCAAUUUGUGGCUUUUUAUUGGUUAAUAAACAUCUGGCUGGGUUGGACAGUGAAUGACAGAAAUAGGAUUAUGAAGAGGGGGGUUAUGUGAGGAAUUAAGGUGAUUUCAUAUUAGUUAAUUCAGACUGAUGAUAGCCUCAGCUGUGGCCACCAAUCCUGUGAUUUGCAUUUAGGAGGACACUCAGUCUGUCAUGAAAUUAUAAUCUAAUCUUAUAAAGAAUGAGCAUCUUGAUAAAUUGGUUUUAUAACACAGUUUAUACAAUGUUGUAUCCAUUUGUUUCUAUUUAAAGAGUUAUGACUUUGAUAUGUUUUAUGAUUGUACUACCGUGGAGCUUUCUGCCUCAUUGAACACCAGAGUGUCACCAAAACUACUUUGCCCUCCGCAUAUUACAGCUGAUAAAUCAUAUUUAUACCUGUUAAAGUUGGAGAUUUUGUGUUGUUUCCAUUUAUUUUAUAUGCAUUAAAAUUAACGUUCAGCUGUUUGAUCAUCCAGGUGUCUGUGUUCCCAAGGAAUUUCGGGGGAGACCAGAUAUGCAUUAUUGCUUUAAAGUCUAUCUGUCUGUCUGUCUGUCAGUCUCCUCUCUCUCGCUUCAGAGAAAUUUAAAGGUGUGGCAUUUGGUGGGGCAUUUGGUGCGUUCCGGGGCUAGUAUGUGUGGGAAGAUUACAAAGAGGCGCUUUGUGAGAGGAUGCAGCUGCUGAAAUCCGACUAGAUCCAGCUGAAGAGAGAAUGGAGCAGGAAAUAAACCUAUGUGAAACCUACAGUCGGGAAACUAUACGACGAAGUAAUCGUGAUCACAUACCGACAAUAUGAGCGCGACAACUAACUCUGCGAGCUACGACAACUUCAAUGUGUUUUAUUUGGACGUGGCUCGGGUACCCACCAUUUCCCAAGAGGCUUCGUGGUCAUCAACACACUGAUGAGCUCCUAGCAAGGCAGCUCCUAGCAAGAUGGUGAACAGAACGACUGAAGUUGGGGAGAGAAAAUGCAGCACCAUUCAUCUACGUGUUUACCUCUCUGGAGAAGACAAUGGAUGUUACAGUUUUAAGAGCUGUCAGGAAUACUUAUUCUUUACCACCACAGUGCUCUAAGCCUGCUUCUCGAUUUAGAUUUAUUAUAGAAGAGCUCUGCUUCUGAGUUACAUUUCACCCUUUGAUAGGUGGGGUUAGCGACGGGGGUCUGUGGGGUACUGGGUGUUGUAACGUAUAUGGACAAUUAUUUGAAUGUGUGAAACUCGCGUCUCUAAAACUGCAUAAAGCGCUGUGCACUUUGAGUAACUAAAUUUGCACAAGAGGUUGGCUUCUCAUAAAAGUGAAACAAUAAAUGGGGCAAGGGAAUUACAAUAAUAUGUCAAUAUUACAGAACAUUUUAGGCAACAGUAGAUGGCUAUGCAUUACUUCAGUGAUCAUAUUUUUGGAUUAUUAAAUAAGAUUGUGCUCUGUGUUAUCGGGCCAUCUUUAUGUUGUAUUAGAAAGAUCAAUGUUUCCCAAUUUAUUGUGAAAUAAUCAUUUUAGUGACAUAUGAGCAGCAUCCCGGGAAUUUACCUGGUCUAUAGGACCAUAUAAGAUACAUGUAUGUUUUAAAUGAAUCAGAUUAUGUAUGAACUAACCUUGUUGUCUUGAAAGCGUCGGAUGGAUCAGGGUCUUGAUCUGGGCCAAGAAAAGAGCAACUGUAAGACGUCUAUUUGUACAUUGACACAGAUACUGAGAGUAGUAUGGUUAUCAUGCUAGUAUACGCCAGGGAAUGUCAGUAAAGAUGUCAGCUUGUCAGCAGGCCCUCUACUGCAGUGUUGACAAGAACUCUCCGAUUGCAAUUCAGAGAAUGUUAUGAAGUAGGUUUACAAAGGGUUAUCACAGAAUCAGGAAUGACCUAUGAUGUUUAUAAUGAAUCAUGAAUGACCUAUGAUGUAUAUAAUGAUUUUUAGACCUGUAUACAGUCUCUACAUGUAAGCUACAUGUUAAAAAUGUAUAUUAUG
ensembl:lncRNA